AUUGAACGCUGGCGGCAGGCCCAACACAUGCCAGUCGAACGGUAACAGGAAGCACCUUGCUGCCUUGCUGACGCGUGGCGCACGGGAGUGUAAUGUCUGGAACACUGCUUGAUGGCGGGGAAUACCUCCUGAAACCGGUACCAAAUCCCGCAUAACGUCGCAAGACCAAAGAGGAGGACCUUCGGGCCUCUUUGCUUUCGAUUAUCCCUGGUUCCGCUCCGGAUUAGCUAGUAGGUCAGGUAACGGCUUACCUAGGCGACGAUGCGUAGCCGAGCUGAGAGGAUGACCGGCCACACUGGAACUGAGACACGGUCCAGACUCCUACGGGAGGCAGCAGUAGGGAAUAUUGCACAAUGGGCGCAAGCCUGAUGCAGCCAUGCCGCGUGUAUGAAGAAGGUCUUCGGGUUGUAAAGUACUUUCAUCGGGGAAGAACGGAGUAAAGAUAAUACCUUUGCGCAUUGACGUUACCCGCAGAAGAAGCACCGGCUAACUCCGUG
rnacentral:rRNA from 1 species